AACUCUCUCCUUAAAAGAACUGUCUUCUUAAUUUCCGCCUUUUCCUUUCUCUUGCUGUCGUGAGGCCAUUUCUACCUGGGAAGAAAGACUAGUUGAAAAAUGACAGAUUUAUUUAAACCUAGCUACUUGCUUGGUUCACACAAAAAUACAGAAUUUGAGGCAGUGGACAUUGAAAAUGGUUUAUGAGCAGUGCUGAUACGGAUUUUCCUCCCAUGUGGAUGCUCCUUCAGCCUUCCAGUGACAUGUCCUCAAUCAAGUGUUCUAGUGUACAGAGUGUUUUCUUGUAGAAGUCUCGGCAAGAUGUCUGUAGCAUGGAUAUGAUUCUUCCCGUUUCACAUGUGAGAAAGAAAGCUGAGUGCAGAAAAGGAAGCAUACCUUUCCAUCGCGCUAUAAUGGUAUGAAGACCUUCAUCAGCUGGGAUGCGCUGUUUCGUCUGGACUAUCAACUG